CAAUUGGAGAGUUUGAUCCUGGCUCAGAGCGAACGCUGGCGGCGUGCCUAACACAUGCAAGUCGAACGAGAAAGCCUUCGGGCAAGUAGAGUGGCGGACGGGUGAGUAACACGUGAGCAACCUGUCUCCGGGUCUGGAAUAACCUUCCGAAAGGGGGGCUAAUACCGGAUAAGACCACAGAGCCUAAUGGUUCAGCGGUAAAAGGUGGCCUCUCCAUGGAAGCUACCGUCUGGAGAUGGGCUCGCGGCCCAUUAGCUUGUUGGUGAGGUAACGGCUCACCAAGGCAA
rnacentral:rRNA from 1 species